AUCAACUUCUCCAUUCUUUUUGCCUGUGCUGAUUUCAGGCUCCCUGGAUGAAAAUUGGCAGGAUCCCACAGGUGCUGGCAACAGGGUGACAUUGGCAUGAGCGAUCCACUGCUGACACCAAAGAGUGGGAGGGAUCCCACACUGGUGAGGAGUGCUCAAGAGGCCCUGAGAUUCAGCAGCUCACCCAGCCAGAGUCUUAAAAGAAAAGAAGCUUAAAAAUCAGAAAAAC